CCUACGGGAGGCUGCAGUGAGGAAUAUUGGUCAAUGGACGAGAGUCUGAACCAGCCAAGUAGCAUGAAGGAUGACUGCCCUAUGGGUUGUAAACUUCUUUUAUAUGGGAAUAAAACGUUCCACGUGUGGGAUUUUGUAUGUACCAUAUGAAUAAGGAUCGGCUAACUCCGUGCCAGCAGCCGCGGUAAUACGGAGGAUCCGAGCGUUAUCCGGAUUUAUUGGGUUUAAAGGGAGCGUAGGUGGAUUGUUAAGUCAGUUGUGAAAGUUUGCGGCUCAACCGUAAAAUUGCAGUUGAAACUGGCAGUCUUGAGUACAGUAGAGGUGGGCGGAAUUCGUGGUGUAGCGGUGAAAUGCUUAGAUAUCACGAAGAACUCCGAUUGCGAAGGCAGUUCACUGGACUGCAACUGACACUGAGGCUCGAAAGUGUGGGUAUCAAACAGGAUUAGAUACCCUAGUAGUC
rnacentral:rRNA from 1 species